CUAACAAGUUGGCGGUCAAUUGUUUGUUAAAUCAGUAACAGCCAUACUUAUUCAGUAAAAAGAGAAUAAAAAGUUGAAUACAAAUUUGGAGGUACGUGCGGAUAGGAUUGCUUUCGUGUUUUGUGGUGAUCUAUGGUGCAAAGUGCAACAAACGCAGAAACGCAAACGGCCGCCCCAACAACAAAACUUAAAAACUCCCGUAUAUAAUUGGGACAUAGGAGACUUCUCCGAUGAAGAUGAAAAUCAUGGUAUCAAUCGUUGUUACCAUGCUUCGACGCAGUUGAAAAUUACGAUUAACUAGAAAAUCAGCCGGUGCCCUCGUUCGAUGAAUUGGAGUCGGAGGAUAUGAAAUUUGAUUUUAGUAGCGAGUAUGCCAAUGAUGCAGAUGUCAUAUUGGAGGUCAGUAGUGCGGAAUAUGAGAAGACUAUGUCGAAAUUUGACGAGCUUGUAAAGAAGGUGCUUGCUUUAGAGCACCGUAAGCGGGAGCUUGAAGGGGCGUCUAAAACAGGAGCAUCUAAUAGUGAAGGCAACGAUCGUUUAAUAGAAAAUGGCGAUAUUCUAGAGACUCCGCGAGUAAGUAAGGAGCAUACCGGUAAUUCCGAGCCUCAAGAGAACGUGAAGCCGCAAUGGGCCAAUCUGUUUUCGGGUCUGAAUCGCCAUCGGAACAAAGCUGGCGCCACUCCCGAUCAAUUCUAUCAGCACAAGGCGAACAUUAUUUCCACUCGAAAGAUCAUCUACGACCCACUGGCGUUCAGCUUUCUGAGCAGUCCCCGCUCCUGCUUGUGGACUUGCUAAAGCAUCAGAAGCAGAACUGCAGGAAACUCGCGGCAUCCUGGAAGACGCAUGAGCUCGGAAAGACUCUUAGAAUGAUUUCCCUAAUCUUGGCCCCUCUGGAGACAAAGAAGCUCAAAACAAAAAACAACGAAUGCCGGUUAAACAGAUGCCAAAACUUCCCAUUUUCGAUGUUGAGUACUAUGAGGACCACGAAGACCAGGAACAAGAAAAUAAGUAUGAACCACCUCUGAUUGAAGACCCCGAGAUAUUAGAGUCUGAAGGAGAACACGAAGAAGAUGAAAGUGUUCCGCGGGCACUUUAAUGGUCUGCCCGCUGAGCGUGAUGUUCCAGUGGGCAGAGGAAGUGGCUUCCAAAGUGGCACCAAAUACCAUUAAAGCUUUGACAUUUCAUGGUCCCAAUCACCAUGACAUCAGCUUGAUGGAAUUCAGAAGCCGCGACUCUGUUAUAACCUCGUACCAUACCGUCGCCUCAGAGGUUGGGAAUCUUGCCAAUAGUUCCCGCCUGCUGGCCGUCCAGUGGAAUAAGAAACGUUAGGACUAGCUGCUUCAAGUCCGUCUUUCUCUUCUCCGCACAUUGUAUGGGCACUGACAGGGACACCUGUCCAGAACAGGGCCAUCGAUGUCAUUCCGCUGCUGCGUUUCCUGAACGUACCGCACUUCACGCAUCUAAAACAGCGGAAGAUGAUGCUGAGCGGGGGCACGGUCUCUUUCGCCCUAGCUUCUUUAUUAAGCCUUCGAUGCUGCGUCGUGCCAGGCAGCAGUUGCAGGCUUCCGGGGACAUGCCGCUACUGCCUGCCUUGACAGCUGGCAGAUGUACAACUAUCGAAGCCUGAAAUCACAAAGUAUAUUGAACAAAAAUAUAUGAGCAAUUCCUUCGAUCACUUGGCUACAAUCCACAAAAAAGGGUGAAGGAAAUCGUUAUUCUGGUGCUGUUUCUGCGCCUUCGUCAAUUUUGCUGCCAUCCCUGUCUUAUGGUUAAGAUGUUUUUGACCAUGGAUGGUACGAGGUUAUAACUGAGUCGUGGCUUCUGAAUUCCUCUAAGCUGAUGUCAUGGCGAUUGGGACCAUGAAAUGUCAAAACUUUGAUGGUAUUUGGUGCCACUUCCUCUGCCCACUGGAACAUCACGCUCAGCGGGCAAACUAAAACCACUAAAGUGCUCGCGGACAAGUAGGGGCCACGUUCUUCUCUUUCGUCUUCUCCUUCAGACUCGCAUAUCUCGGGGUCUUCGAUCGGAUGUGGUUCAUACUUAUUUUCUUGUUCCUGGUCCUUCUGGUCCUCAUAGUACUCAACAUCGAAAAUGCGAAAUUUUGGCAUCUUUUUAACCGGCAUUCGUUGAAGUUGUUUAUUCCAGUUGAGGGAGGAGCAACUGAACAAUGCGUUCAAUUACAUAGCGCGGGAGAGUCAUUCGAUGGAGGUUUUCUCUCGCUUUUGCGCUCAACAUCGUCCAAACCGUGCUUCCCAAAUAAAACUAAACUUAAAGAUUAAA
rnacentral:misc_RNA from 1 species